CAGCCGCCCAUCAGCGUCGGCUUUAUUAACAAACACUCUGGUUCAUCGAUCCUAGUUCACCCCUUAAUCCCCCAAAAAUCACUGCCUUUGUCGUUGUGGACUGCUCAAGUCUUGGGCGCGUUAGAUUCUGAGACUGAGAGAAGUAAUAGUAAGUACUCUUCAACUGCCUAGAAGGGACGCGGAAAGUAUGCUCUUCUUCUUUUCUCUAUUCCGCUCUUUGUUUCCACCUGCACAAACCCUAAACAUUGAUCUAUCAGAAUCUCCAAUCCUUUCUCUUCUUCUUUCCAUUUUGGUAGUUUAAAGGAAUUGCUGCUUCUUCUCUUCCUUUAAUAUGUGCCUUUUUGCUAGAUAAAUGACAUUAUAAGCUUCACAUUGCUCGCUCAUAUUGUCCCUCCAUUUCUUUCUGCUUCGCUUGUGAGCUCUUUCCCCUGAAUACAAUUUAUGCUUCUUUUGCUGUAUAACGAAUACAAUUUAUCUUAUCGCCAUUGGGGUAUUCAACAAUUGGUGCAUUGUCAUUCCCAUUGGAAGCACACAAGUUUUCUUUACCAGGGUAAUGGGCUUGGCUGUUACUCUUUCUUCGUCAUCAUUUUGUAUGCGGAUCAAUUUUGCUGAUAAUUCUUCUCACAGAACGAUAAACGCCUUAAUUUCUCACAGGUUCAGUCUCCAAUCCCAUAAAAUUUGGAGGGCUGUUCUGGGCUUGAAUUGUAGGGAAUACUGCAGAUGACCUGGUUGGUUGCUUCGUAGCUGGCAAAAAUUCAUUCUUUAGGAUAUAGUUUAAAGCGUAUAUAUGGCUGCCUUCUGCUGCUGUCCAUGCAACGAUGAAUUUGAAGAAUAUGCUUAUGCGGCAAUUCAAAAUAUAGGCACUGCAUAUGCAUAAGAUUCUUUUUCCACCAGUUACUCAGUGUGGUAAGCAUUGAAAUUUUCAGCUACUAAACACUGUUGGACUCUUGUAUCUUUAAUCUUCUGGGACAUAUCUGUAAAUCCCAUCGGCUAGGAUAAUUCUUAUGGAAAUUUUCGACUCCAUUCUGCCUUGCCCAGGAUUAUUUAACCGCUUUAUCUGGGAAAAACCUGUGUGUUAGCCAAGAGUGAGCUAGUAUCGCUUUUAUCACCAUCUUUUAUUUGGGCAAUAUAUCUGCAAUUUAGGCCUCAACACAACUUAUACCAUUCUGUGACUGCAUAGAGCCUCAAAUUCUACGGAAACGUGAAAAAUGUAUUAUUAAGAAGAUUGCUUAGUGCCUUUGUCUUUUGCCCAAUUCCAAUGCAUCAGAGUGGUCUAUCAAUGUAUAAUGUCAUAUUUCCGUGUGUGCACUGUGAUUUGGAAAGGUAAGGUGAAGUUCUGACAUAUAACAUGUUUGGCUUGUUUCACAAAAAAUUAAACGACAAAAUGGAUUAACUGAAUCACAUAAUUUCUUAACACCUUGUGUUUUGAUCUUUACAAGAAUCUAAUUUUAAAAGCUAUUGUUUUUUUGACCUUUUCCUUUCCAAGAAGACUCAUUGAUUCUGGUUAGAAUAACUUACAUUAUUUUGUGCUAUUUUAUCUCAUUCUAAUUUCAAACCUCCUUAAGUUACCCCUUCAUGCAUAUGCAGUAUGGUGCUAUGUUUUAUAGACUUGAAGGCCAGCCAAUAUCUCCAACCCAAGGAGGCACUUCCUUGACAUCAACAGGUGUUGGCACAGAAUUACCAGAUGGUUUCAUUAGUGAUACUCAUGUCUCAUUACCCAGGCCAGUCCCUCAUGAUGCUGAUCAAAGAUACACUCGAUCACAUUGUGAUGGUUUGGUAUCUAGAAAGUCAAUGACUCAUUUCCAAGAAGAAUCACAACCAUUGGGGAGAAAUAUGAGCAAUACUGGUAUGGAAUCAUCUGGUUUUGGGAAGAAAUGGAAUGCGGUUGAUUCUGAGGAAGACUAUAAAGCGAGCCAUUCGGAGUCCUCAGAGCAAGCUUUGGAAACAAAUGUUACAUAUGAACUGUCUUACAUGCAACAGUCUUCUGAAGAUGAAGAUGUCUGCCCUACAUGUCUUGAUGGUAUGUUAAUGCAUCUAUGUAUAUUGCACAUCAUUUCUGGGGACAUAGCUCAUAUUUGUAUUGCAUUCUGAUGGUAUCCUACAAGUAAUAAGAAUAUUCUUUGUUCUCACGCUAAUAUACUUUGAUAGCUUUUAAACAAUCAUUUUCUUGCAGAAUACACUCCAGAAAAUCCUAAAAUCACAACAAGAUGCUCUCACCAUUUUCACCUCGGUUGUAUUUAUGAAUGGUUGGAAAGAAGUGAAAAUUGUCCAAUAUGUGGCAAGGAGAUGGAGUUUUGUGACAGCCCUUAAGUUGGUGUGCAUCUGAUUGCUAAGUAUGGAGAGACCCGGCUGGAUAGUCUGUAAAUAAAUGCUCUGUUAUUAACAUUCUUGAAUAGAGAAAGUAACUGUUCGUUGUAUCUACUUUGUAAUUUUCUACUGUACUUGUGGGUCAAAUACUUGUUUCCCUUUUCUUAAAUAGAAAAUCACUGAUCAAUGUAAGGUUUUAUCAACUGGUUGUAAGCAUUAUUGUCCAGGAUCUUGUUAAUGAUGCAUGCUGAGUAAAAUUAGUUGUUUUUAAUGCUUCUAUUUUUGGUGUUCUUACACUAUGUACUUAUGUGUGGCAUGUUGAAGCUGGUGAUUUUUAAUAGUUUCAGAUUGACUAAUUUUGCUGCGCCUUAUCAUCAUGUUGGUUUAAGUUUUAUGUUUGUUGUGAGUUGAUGAGCCAAGUAUUUGCAUCUUCGUAAUGCUUUGGAUUUGUGCUAUUUGAGUUGGUCAAUUCAGUUAUCUUGUUGCAGGUAUGAUUGGAUAAUAUCAUCAUCAUCGUCAUCAUCAU
rnacentral:misc_RNA from 1 species